AGACAGGAAAGACGAAUCCAUUUGACACCAUUUUGCUUCACCACCUAAAAGCUGUCGCCCAGUUGGGUGGGUGUGGAGCACGUGACUGUAAAGCUGCCGCCCAGUUGGUUUGUUUAUUUACAUGGUGACUUCUGAGACGCACCACGGCCGCCACACCCGCCAAAUUAUCCAAUGAGAGUCGUGUGCCAGAACCAACCAGCCAAUCAGCGGGCAGCGCGCCACUACACCAGGCAUUUUUUUCCCCAGAGCAGUGAGGCGGUGGAAAUAGGUGGGUGAGAGAGGUAGAACACUUGGUGCAUAGCCUCACGUAAGCCAAGCCUCGUCACGCCUCGCAACGCUCCACAAGGAUCAACAACAACUGUAUUUCUCUCUGCACUCAGCAUGAUACACAUUAUUUUGUCUCAGCAAGAGAAAAAAUCUCUUGCCCGAUAACCAUGUGUCUUCACCUUAUGUUCACUAGUUCUCACCCGAUAUCUAUGUGAGCUGGUAUGAUAUCCACUUGACUUCAACCAAUAUUAAUGAUAUCCACUUGACUUCAACCAAUAUUAAUGAUAUCCACUUGACUUCAACCAAUAUUAAUUAAAAAAAAACUAGGAAUAAAUGAAUCUACAAAAGGCUUAUUCGCCCACACGAGGCAAUUACUAAUGUCUCAAACAAUUCAGUGCCUCCAUUUCAAUUACCAUUCUACUUGUGUAAAGGAGGAAAUGUAUAUGUUUAUCUCUCAGAAUGUUUGGUAAUAUGUUUAUUGUUUGUGAUGUGUAUCUAUGUAUGUAUUAACACGAUGUACUGAACGGGGUGAGAAUAGCUGGA